UCGGGUUGUAAAGCACUUUUGUCCGGAAAGAAAACCUUUGGGCUAAUACCCUGAGGGGAUGACGGUACCGGAAGAAUAAGCACCGGCUAACUACGUGCCAGCAGCGCGGUAAUCGUAGGGUGCGAGCGUUAAUCGGAAUUACUGGGCGUAAAGCGUGCGCAGGCGGUUCGUUAAGACAGAUGUGAAAUCCCCGGGCUUAACCUGGGAACUGCAUUUGUGACUGGCGAGCUAGAGUAUGGCAGAGGGGGGUAGAAUUCCACGUGUAGCAGUGAAAUGCGUAGAGAUGUGGAGGAAUACCGAUGGCGAAGGCAGCCCCCUGGGCCAAUACUGACGCUCAUGCACGAAAGCGUGGGGAGCAAACAGGAUUAGAUACCCUGGUAGUCCACGCCCUAAACGAUGUCAACUAGUUGUUGGGGAUUCAUUUCCUUAGUAACGUAGCUAACGCGUGAAGUUGACCGCCUGGGGAGUACGGUCGCAAGAUUAAAACUCAAAGGAAUUGACGGGGACCCGCACAAGCGAUGGAUGAUGUGGAUUAAUUCGAUGCAACGCGAAAAACCUUGCCUACCCUUGACAUGGUCGGAACCCUGCUG
rnacentral:rRNA from 1 species